GCCCGGUUAGCUCAAUCGGUAGAGGUUAGUUCUUCCACCACGAAUAUUCACUACUCAACACGGUAUACUAACUUAUUCACAGCGUGAGACUCUUAAUCUCAAGGUUGCGGGUUCGACCCCCGCAUCGGGCU